rnacentral:rRNA from 1 species
GACGAACGCUGGCGGCGUGCCUAAUACAUGCAAGUCGAACGCUUCUUUCCUCCCGAGUGCUUGCACUCAAUUGGAAGGAGGAGUGGCGGACGGGUGAGUAACACGUGGGUAACCUACCCAUCAGAGGGGGAUAACACUUGGAAACAGGUGCUAAUACCGCAUAACAGUUUAUGCCGCAUGGCAUAAGAGUGAAAGGCGCUUUCGGGUGUCGCUGAUGGAUGGACCCGCGGUGCAUUAGCUAGUUGGUGAGGUAACGGCUCACCAAGGCCACGAUGCAUAGCCGACCUGAGAGGGUGAUCGGCCACACUGGGACUGAGACACGGCCCAGACUCCUACGGGAGGCAGCAGUAGGGAAUCUUCGGCAAUGGACGAAAGUCUGACCGAGCAACGCCGCGUGAGUGAAGAAGGUUUUCGGAUCGUAAAACUCUGUUGUUAGAGAAGAACAAGGACGUUAGUAACUGAACGUCCCCUGACGGUAUCUAACCAGAAAGCCACGGCUAACUACGUG